CUACAGUGUUUUUUUUUCUGUAGUAUCUGAUCAAUUACUUACAGUCCGAUUCUUUCCCGUAAAACCGUUCCCGCUGAAAAAUCAAAUAGAGGGAGGGAUUCUUUCUCACGACCAAAACCUCACUGCUUUACAAGUCUCUUGACCUUCUCAAUCCAUCGAGGGUUUGUAUUCUCCGCUCGGCUGGUCCUUCAUCUGCUAUAAUCGUUGUUGUUGCUUAAAAGUUAUAGGUAUUCUAUGGAUUUUUCUAUUUGAUCGUGAAGCUCUGUUCUUUGGUUUGAUUAUUGCUCUUUUUAAAUGAAGAACAAUUUGCACAAUUGUUACUCUUCUCUCUCUCUCUCUCUAUUUUGCCCUAGCAUGUAAGCUAUGCGCUCUCUCAAUUUUGCCCUUCAUUCUGCCCUAGCAUGUAAGAAGAGACGAGGAUGUCUGCUAUGAUCCCAAUGCCUCAUCGAUUCUGCUAUCUCUCCCUCUUGAUUCUUCCCUAGCCCCAGUUGAGGGUCUUGCUGCCUUAGAAUGCUGGGUUCUCUGUGUUUUCGGUUUAAAACCAGAAGCCUGGAUCAGGGAAUAUCCCGCGUCAUCCCUCACAACAGCGACCACAAAGCAGCGUGGUACAGAUUCGACAUGGAGCGCCAAUUUUCAAGCAUUCUAAAGCCUUCCAAACUCCAGACAGGUACAGAUUAGCCUGCAUAUAGCAAAUGGGCCUCCAAGUUCCAAUAAUCUUUCAAAACUCCUCCUUUUAGCUUGAGUGAGGUACAGGGGACAAGGAAUAAAAUAGGGGGAAAGAAGAGAAAAGGGGAGGUAGUGAAUGUGGAUGUUUCUAUUUCUGCUGCCGGGGACUCCCUGAAAUGGAGAUUAUUUGUUGUUUCUUAUUGAAGAUUAUUUGCCCGCAGCAAUGAUUUAUCCAUUUGCUUUUGCUGCUCUUCUUUGGGCAUAUGUUACUGCUGUCUCUAUUUCUGUUGGUUUUCUCGGGCCUGCAACGAUAAUUUUGACAUCAUAUACUGUUGCAGUUUCCUGGCCUGUUACUGCUAUGUUCUGGCUUGUGACUGAUGUAUUCUGCUGCUUAUAUAAUCGUUGUUGGUUUGAUCUGCUUAUGGUUA